UACGGAGGGGGCUAGCGUUGUUCGGAAUUACUGGGCGUAAAGCGCACGUAGGCGGAUCUUUAAGUCAGGGGUGAAAUCCCAAGGCUCAACCUUGGAACUGCCUUUGAUACUGGGGAUCUCGAGUCCGGAAGAGGUGAGUGGAACUGCGAGUGUAGAGGUGAAAUUCGUAGAUAUUCGCAAGAACACCAGUGGCGAAGGCGGCUCACUGGUCCGGUACUGACGCUGAGGUGCGAAAGCGUGGGGAGCAAACAGG
rnacentral:rRNA from 1 species